UUAAGCAUAUAAGUAAGCGGAGGACAAGAAACUAAAUAGGAUUCCCCUAGUAAUGGCGAAUGAACAGGGAAGAGCUCAGCAUGGAAAUUGGGGUCUCCCGACCUUGAAUUGUAGUCUUGAGAUGUACUGCCAACGGAGGCGCAGAUGUAAGCCUCUUGGAAAAGAGCAUCAACGAGGGUGAGAGUCCCGUUUGUCAUCUGCAGUCCCCCGUGCACGGUGUACCUUCUAAGAGUCACGUUCCUCGGGAUUGGAGCGCAAAGUGGGUGGUAAAUUUCAUCUAAAGCUAAAUAUUGGUUCGAGACCGAUAGCAAACAAGUACCAUGAGGGAAAGGUGAAAAGGACUUUGAAAAGAGAGUUAAAAGUGCCUGAAAUUGCUGAAAGGGAAGCGAAUGGAACCAGUGUUCUUGAUGAGAUUGUUGCGUACUCUGGUGAUUGCUGGGUGCUCUACCGCAAGGGGGGCAUUUGGUUUUGAGCUAGAUGUGCGUGGUGUUUCUUGUCUUGUGUGUCACCGUCGGUGCCCGGCUGAGUAAAACUCCAGGGACAUGGUAGUCUUACCACGGUAGGUCGAAUGUCUUUGGCAGUACUCAUUUGUGUAUCGAUCCCUGCGUGUCUGGUUGCAGUGUUUGGAUCGCCUGGAAACUCUUGCGGUUUCGUCCUUGAAGGAGUGCUUUUGGGCGCCCUGAGCAUCUCCCUGACACAAAG
rnacentral:rRNA from 1 species